UACGUAGGGUCCAAGCGUUAAUCGGAAUUACUGGGCGUAAAGCGUGCGCAGGCGGUUUCGCAAGUCAGAUGUGAAAGCCCCGGGCUUAACCUGGGAACUGCAUUUGAAACUACGAGGCUAGAGUGUGUCAGAGGGGGGUAGAAUUCCACGUGUAGCAGUGAAAUGCGUAGAGAUGUGGAGGAAUACCGAUGGCGAAGGCAGCCCCCUGGGAUGACACUGACGCUCAUGUACGAAAGCGUGGGGAGCAAACAGG
rnacentral:rRNA from 1 species